rnacentral:rRNA from 1 species
AUACGUAGGGGGCGAGCGUUGUCCGGAAUGAUUGGGCGUAAAGGGCGCGUAGGCGGCGCGGUAAGUCUGGAGUGAAAGUCCUGCUUUCAAGGUGGGAAUUGCUUUGGAUACUGCCGCGCUUGAGUGCAGGAGAGGUUAUCGGAAUUCCCGGUGUAGCGGUGAAAUGCGUAGAGAUCGGGAGGAACACCAGUGGCGAAGGCGGGUAACUGGACUGCAACUGACGCUGAGGCGCGAAAGUGUGGGGAGCAAACAGGAUUAGAUACCCUGGUAGUCCACACUGUAAACGAUGAAUGCUAGGUGUAAGAGGUAUCGACCCCUUUUGUGCCGGAGUCAACACAAUAAGCAUUCCGCCUGGGGAGUACGGCCGCAAGGUUGAAACUCAAAGAAUUGACGGGG